GUGAGCUAGUGCAAGCCAUCCACAAGGAGGGGAGGAGAACUAACCUUUGAUCAGACCUUUGAAAACAAGAUUCACACAAGUGCCUCCACAGACCUCAGCUUGGCAACCACAGGGCAUUUGGACUCAGAACAUUCACUGCCUCAGGGGACAGAUGACCUACCAGAAGUUAGAAGUUGGUUCUUGUCUUCUGAGUGUCAAAAACUGAUGUCUGUGUGUGUAUGUGUGGGAGCGGGGGUGGUGGUGAAAAGAACCAAAUAUUUGGAAGAUGCAGGAUGCUCCAAGUCCCCAGGCCAGAUGAUGCUUCCUCGGCUGAGGGAAGAUGAGGACCACUGUCCAUGUUCCCUGGGGAACUUGUCUUCUUGCAGUGCCCAUCGAAACUGGAACAGCUCUGAACAAAACAGACAAAGCUCCUGACCCCACGGAGCAUCCACUUUUGUGGAGGGAGAGAGACGCCAAACAGGUCACCUCCUUCAAGUAGCCUUCCCUGAUUAUCCCAGACUUGCCUCAGAAGUUUUAGGUUCAAAAUUGAGAGGAAGGUGCAGAGAGUUCCUGUACAUCCCGUGUUUCCAGCCUGGCACAGUCAGCCCGUUUUCAACGUCCGAGCCGUAGAGCUGCAUUUGUUACAAUCAGCGAGCCUACACUGACACUUUGUAAUCACCCUGAGUCCAUAGUGUACACGAGGGUUUAUUCUUGGUGUUGUACAUGCUAUGGGCUUGGACAAAUGUAUAAUGACAUGUAUGCGUCAUUAUAGCAUCACACAGAGUAUUUUCACUGCCCUAAAAAUUCUGUGCAUUCUGCCUAGUCAUGCCUCCCAUAAACCCUGGCAACCACUGAUCUUUUUACUGUGUCCAUAGUUUUGCCUUUUCCAAAAUGUCAUAUGGUGGGAUUUAAGCAAUAUGUCUCCUUUUCAGAUCGGCUUCUCUCACUUACUGAUAUACAUUUAAGUUUCCUUCUAGUCUUUUCACGGCUUGAUAACUCAUUUCUUUUUUAACACCGAAUGCGCCACUGUCUGAAGGUACCGCAGUUUAUCCAUUUACCUACUGGAGGACAUCUCGGUUGCUUCCAAGUUUUGGCAAUUACAGAUGAGCAGACUAAGGUCCAGAGUAAAGUGACUUGCCCACUCUCAGAGAGCUACUGGAAUAAUCAUUGCUAACAUAACAGAGAACCCUAACCCUGUGCCAGACGCUGUUCCCUCAAUACCAAUGAACACAUUUCCUUCUCUUGACAACUCCAAGAGCCAGGGAGGGGGCAGUGAUUACCCCCAGUUCACAGAUGGGGAAGCCCGAGGCCCAGACAGGUCAGCUAACCUGGUAAUAGUAGUGAUAAUUAUUUAUUGAGCACUAACUGUGUGCCAGAUGCCUUGCUAAGUGGUCCGAACAACAUAACACACUGCUCUGCCAUCUGGUGUGUGAUGAGUUCUUGCCACGUGGCAGGUACAUUGAGUCUUCCCAGCAAGUUCAUGUUAACGCUCUAUCACAAAGAGGGAUGCUCCUGGGGUCACAGGGCUGGUAUGCGACUGAGAUGGGUCCUAGUCCAGCUCCAGUCUGCAUCAAUGCUGUCUCCAGCCACCGCACAGCCAGGACUUGAGGCCAGAACUCUCUGCCCGUGUUUGGACCUCCUCUUCCUCCUCUCCCUGGCAUCCAGAGAGGGUCUGAUUCGGAAGAGAGAUUUCUUGUGGGUCAGUAGCUGCCUCCCACCUUCUCUGCCCGCAAAGAGAAGCUGCCAUGUUUGACGUUAAUUGACAAGGGAGGAGAGAGGCUACAAAAAAUGGGGAAGAAACCUCGUUACUUGGCAAAAGAAUUAAGUGGUUUUAGUGUCUUCACCACAUCCUCGGAUGUAGGGGGCUCGGUCCCUCACUGGUGUUUCCCACCACUUUUCCUCCAGAACUGGGAUAUGAAGCCCACUCAGUCAUACAAUAGACUGAGCAGACAGGGCGCCUUUUGACCCAGCAGGGAGGGAUAGGGCGCCUAGACCAAAAGUGCACCCUGAGUUCCCAUCAG
ensembl:lncRNA